rnacentral:rRNA from 1 species
GAUGAACGCUGGCGGCGUGCCUAAUACAUGCAAGUCGAGCGAACAGACGAGGAGCUUGCUCCUCUGACGUUAGCGGCGGACGGGUGAGUAACACGUGGAUAACCUACCUAUAAGACUGGGAUAACUUCGGGAAACCGGAGCUAAUACCGGAUAAUAUAUUGAACCGCAUGGUUCAAUAGUGAAAGACGGUUUUGCUGUCACUUAUAGAUGGAUCCGCGCCGCAUUAGCUAGUUGGUAAGGUAACGGCUUACCAAGGCAACGAUGCGUAGCCGACCUGAGAGGGUGAUCGGCCACACUGGAACUGAGACACGGUCCAGACUCCUACGGGAGGCAGCAGUAGGGAAUCUUCAGCAAUGGGCGAAAGCCUGACGGAGAAACGCCGCGUGAGUGAUGAAGGUCUUCGGAUAGUAAAACUCUGUUAUUAGGGAAGAACAAAUGUGUAAGUAAAUAUGCACGUCUUGACGGUACAUAAUCAGAAAGCCACGGCUAACUACGUG